CUAUCCCAUGAGGGAGAUGAGAGAGGAAUGGCAGUGAAGCGACGUAACUGACACUGGUAGGUCACAUGAUAAUGACAGCAAUUAUUAGCAAUCUGAAUUACAUUCAUACUACACACAUUCAUACAAUAUAGAAUGUACUUUUUUAGCAGUUGUGAACUAAUUAUUCAAAAUAAGAGAGUAUGCAAUUUCGGCUGCAGCCAACGUAUUCGGACAAACAACUCUUUUGGCAUACUGUUUUUUGCUUACUAGGCUUAUAUAGUAGGGAAGUAUUCCAUUUCGGACGCAGCAAUGCCCUGCACCCCACCCUAUCCGCCCUAAAUGCCAAAUAGUAUUGAAUAUUACUAAAGUCACAUACUAUUUAGGGUGGAUAGUAUGCACAUUGAGAAGCAAGCAAAGUCUCUUAGUUUCUUUCUCAUUGUUUCCUUUUUUUCCUCCUUUCUGUUUCCUUGGUUGUUACAGUUUCUAAGUAUGUUUGCAUUUGUUGUCAUAGUGAUUCAUUAGUUGAGUGAUUAGUCCCCACCUGUGCCUUGUUUUCCUCCUCAGUUAUCCUGUGUAUGUAUAGCCCUCAGUUUCUGUUGUUUUUGGUCUGUUCUUGUUAGUUUAAAAUUACUAUUACACGUAAAAUAAUGUACUCAAGAAUCACCACAUAUUCAGUUGCAUUUCACUGGAAAAAUUUUUGGGAGGGAUUUAAGGCAAGAGUGAUUUUUUUUUUUUUUUUAUUCUGAUAUCUCUUUGAAAACAGUCACUGUAUUUAACCUACUAUCGAUCUUUAUGUCAUGCAGACACCUGUACAGUAAUGCAAAAGCCAGGACAGAUCACUGAAUCCAGAUAUGGACGACAGCUGUUCUGGAUAGCAGUAAGAGGAAUUUGAAGAUGCAUCUGAGUUGAGCAAAGACAUGAGGACUGAAGCAGCAUGGAAAAGCCCAGAGAAGAGCACAGAGAAAGGGGUGUGAAAGGCAGCCAGCUGGAAAUAAGUGGAGCUCCAAAAGUUCUUGGAGAAUGGUGAAUGUCUUUUCAACACCAGUCAGCAGUUAUGUACAGCAAUGAAGAAUGAGGUAUCUAUCUCCUUGAAUGAAACCUGUGGUUCAUUCAAAACAUAAAAAAACCUUUAGAAUAAACAGGGAAAAAUGUUUUAUUUUGAUAGUAGAUAUUUUCUACAUUCUACAACAUAAAAUACAUUAAUAUUUUUAGUAUCUCGUGAUUUAAAAAAAAAAAGAUUUUACUUGUCUUGAAAAAGGCGGUUGCUAACAAUGGAAAAAUCCUAUUGGGUUUUUUGUUAAGGGGACAAGGCUGAUGCUAACUUACAGGUUGGCCUAAAAAUAAGUCUUUACAGACAUUCAAAUGUAGUUACUCUAAUAAGUAAUUAAUUACUAGCUACUAAUUACAUCUUCAACAGUGUAAUUAGAUUACUGUACUAAUUACUCUCUAAAAAGUAUUGCUUACUUAUUACUAAUUAUUUCUAAAUCCCAUAUAAACACUGACCAGUUGAACAAUACAAGAAUAGACAUGGAACUUGAAUUAUUCUUGAACUGACCAAAGUAUUUAAAGGGAGAAGGUUACAUUAAAAAUCUAAAUUAUAAAUUCUGAUGUUAAAUCCACUAUUGUUUUACAUAGAAUUGUUCUAUAGUCUAUACAGUAUUUAAUGCAAUUACACCAGAAAUAACUGUUAUUAAAUUACAGAAAAAUUAAGAGUAAUCCGUUGCUUUACCUUUUCAAGGGAAAAGUAAUUAAUUACUUAGUAAUGCAUUACAACCAACACAGAUUCUGUCGAAAAGAAAUUUUAGAAUAUUAUCAAUUAUGGGUAACACUUUAGAAUACUGUUCCAUCAUUAAUUAAUAACGACACAGGAACAAAUGAGUAACGCAAUAUUAACACUCUAGUAACUGUUAUUAACUAACAACAAACUCAGAUUAGUAAUUGCUUCUGAUGGAUUUGGUAACAUUUGAGUCAUUACUCUUUGAGUCAUUACUAUCUUCACUUUAGAAUACUGUAUCAAAUAAUUAGUUCCAUAAUUAUUCCUUUAGAAGGAAGUAGUAACCCUUACAAAAACCUCAAAAGCUUACAAUGAUUCCAGUCAUUACUUGGAAGUUAUCAUGCUUUUCACUUUAGAAUACGGUAAUACUUGAGUCAUUACUAUGUAACAAUGACAUUGUAAAAUAAAGAGUUAGCUAAUAGUGAACUACCUCGUUCAACAGAACGCUAUUACUAAUUAGUUAAUCAGAGUUUCUUGUUAGUUAAUAGCAGUUACUAGAAUGUUAAUAUUGCAUCACUCAUUUGUUCCGCUCUAGUUAUUUAUUAAUAAUUCUAAAGUGUUACCUAAUUAAAUUUAUUUAUCUUAUUAUAGUUGUUAAAAGCAUGAAAUUAAUAAUUAUAUCUGAAUCUGAACUGGAUUACAAACAUGCUCUCAACAGGUUAUUAGUGCUCACUGACAAAAAUAUGUGACCUACUUACUGCUGUGAUGAAAUAUGUUUUCAGGGAAUUCAAGGACAUUAAGUGUUAUCCUGUUAUGAUUUUUAUCCUUCCAUUAUUGCAUAAAUGCAUCUAAUUCGCAAUGCCUAUGGCAAUAUCAUAGUAACAUAGUGGCAGUUUUUUUGCUAGCUGGGGACGUGUCUUUACAGGUGAGGAGAAAAACUGUAUUAAACUUGGUACAAUAAAAGAAUUACUCAUCCAUUAGCUAUGAUUAGUUUUGCAAAUGUAUGUGUGUGUGUUUAUGAAAUCAUUGGUUUGACAAAGAAGGUCCUAUUGAAUAAGUGUUAACAGUGCAGUUAUAGUUAUUUGGACAGAUCCUCUCGUUGUGGCUACUGUUGCCAGGGGGGCAAAUAUUUCUUGUUCCAUCUCUUUAUUGAUGUAUAGCCGCCCACUAAGCCCCUCUGCUGCUGAUGAGUCAGACUAUCCCUCCUGAAAUCCUGACCAACGCAGCUGUUAACUUUAACUUGUUUCUAACCUACUGAGGGAGGAAGAAAUCCAAAGAUAGGCUCUUAAACAACUAGGCCUGCAUAAAACAUUGACUUCAUACACGGCUAUUUAAAGGGAUAGUUCACCUAAAAAUGAAAAUUAUCCCAUGAUUUACUCACCCUCAAGCCAUCCUAGGUGUAUAUGACUAUCUUCUUUCAGACGAACACAAUCAGAGAUAUUAUUAAAAAUAUUCUGGCUCUUCCAAGCUUUAUAAUGGUUGUGAACGGGGGGGGUUUGAAACCCCCCAAAAAUGCAUCCAUCCAUUAUAAAAGUAAUCCAUCCGCCUUCGUCAAUGCGUCAGUUCAAAGGUUACUCUUCCGCUGCAAAUCGAUGCGUACGGCUGUCUGACAGAAGCUAGUUAUUAUAGUUAAUAAAGUUUUAAAUAUGGAUAUUUUUCUUACAAAAACCCAUCGUCAGAAGGCCUUUAUUAACCACCUGGAGCCAUAUGGAUUAUAUUUAUGAUGGAUGGAUGCAUUUUUGGGGGGCUUCAAAACAUGACCCCCUGUUCACUACCAUUAUAAAUCUUAGAAGAGACAGGAUAUUUUUAAAUAUAUCUCUGAAUGUGUUAGAUAGUCAUAUACACCUAGAAGGCUUGAGGGUAAUUCAUGGGAUAAUUUUCAUUUUUGGGUGAACUAUCCCUUUAAAAGCUAAUAUUUUGGCUGUCUUAGUGGAGUGAUGGUAAAAAUGAUGGUAAAAUGCACAUUCUCUGUUAUGAUCUGAAAUUACUUAUCUAAAACUACUUAAAGAACAUAGUUUUGUCCUCCUUGUACAGUUUUUGUAGGUAAAGUUUUUUUUUUUUUUUUUUUUUGGAUGGGUUAAUUUCACUUCAUAAUUUGUUCAAUUAUGACUACUUAUUUUAACUGUAUAUUCAUGGACAAAUUAGUCAAACAAAGUGAAAGCAUAACAAUCACCCUUCCUGUCAUGGGAAAAGCUUUAUCUAGGAUAAUAGUAAGCAUUUGGCGCCCUCUGGUGAAUAUUUUUGUACAAGUAUUAUUGGUCUAAUUUAUUCAAACUUGCUGAAAUUCUGAUUUCAUUGUCAUUGCUGUAGUUCCUCUUUAAAAAAAAAAAAAAAUCAAUUCAAAUUCAGUUUCAUUACUAAACAAAUUAUUUGAUAAAAAAAAUCUUGAUAUUCACUAAACGUAAGUCCAAGCAAAAACGCAAAACUUUUUUCUGCUAAUUUUUACUUUUUUAACAAACAAGUGAGAGAAAUGUGUAUGAUAUUAUAAUAAAACAUAGAUGUUUAAGUCUAGGGGGGAAAAAAGGAGAUAUUUUGAAGUGGAAACCAACCAGGCAGACCAACCCUCAUGUGUUUGACAUCUGGUAUCUGAUUGAACCAUGAACCCAUGAGAGUUGUUGAAUUGUAAUCUUUAUGUACACGCCCUGCCAUGUCACCAUCCAAUAAAUUAGACAAUCAUUUACCAGUGAUCUCAAUACAAAAUAUUUAUAUUACUGCUUGAAGGCUUUUUAUUGUCUGUUAAUUUUUCACUCACAUUAAACAUUUAACACUGUUAGAUUUUAACACUAUUAUUAAGCAUUGCUCAUUAUGCAUAAAAUACAAUGACUCCUCAUCCCCAGUUUUAGUUUCUGUGUGCAA